CUUCCGUAGGGGGAACCUGCGGAAGGAUCAUUACAGAGACAUUGCCCCUUGGGGUAGAUCUCCCACCCUUUGUUUACCUUACCUUUGUUGCUUUGGCAGGCCCGUCUUUGGACCACCGGCUUAGGCUGGUCUGCGCCUGCCAGAGAACCCCAAAUUCUUGACUUUUUGUGUUGUCUGAGUAAUAUUAUAAUAAGUUAAAACUUUCAACAACGGAUCUCUUGGUUCUGGCAUCGAUGAAGAACGCAGCGAAAUGCGAUAAGUAAUGUGAAUUGCAGAAUUCAGUGAAUCAUCGAAUCUUUGAACGCACAUUGCACCCUCUGGUAUUCCAGGGGGUAUGCCUGUUCGAGCGUCAUUUCAACCCUCAAGCUUAGCUUGGUAUUGGGUGUCACCUGGUAAUGGGGUGCAUCUUAAAAUCAGUGGCGGUGCCAUCUGGCUCCAAGCGUAGUAAUUCUCUCGCUUUGGAGAUUUAGAUUUGUGGUUGCCAUCAACCCCUAAUUUCUUAAAGGUUGACCUCGGAUCAGGUAGGGAUACCCGCUGAACUUAAGCAUAUCAAUAAGCGGAGGAA
rnacentral:rRNA from 1 species